AGUGAACGCUGGCAGUAGGCCUAACACAUGCAAGUCGAACGGCAGCACAGUAAGAGCUUGCUCUUACGGGUGGCGAGUGGCGGACGGGUGAGGAAUACAUCGGAAUCUACUUUUUCGUGGGGGAUAACGUAGGGAAACUUACGCUAAUACCGCAUACGACCUACGGGUGAAAGCAGGGGAUCUUCGGACCUUGCGCGAUUGAAUGAGCCGAUGUCGGAUUAGCUAGUUGGCGGGGUAAAGGCCCACCAAGGCGACGAUCCGUAGCUGGUCUGAGAGGAUGAUCAGCCACACUGGAACUGAGACACGGUCCAGACUCCUACGGGAGGCAGCAGUGGGGAAUAUUGGACAAUGGGCGCAAGCCUGAUCCAGCCAUACCGCGUGGGUGAAGAAGGCCUUCGGGUUGUAAAGCCCUUUUGUUGGGAAAGAAAAGCAGCAGGUUAAUACCCCGCUGUUCUGACGGUACCCAAAGAAUAAGCACCGGCCAACUUCGUG
rnacentral:rRNA from 1 species